GACGAACGCUGGCGGCGUGCUUAACACAUGCAAGUCGAACGGACAGGCCCUGCUUUUGUGGGGUGCUCGAGUGGCGAACGGGUGAGUAACACGUGAGUAACCUGCCCUUGACUUUGGGAUAACUUCAGGAAAAUGGGGCUAAUACCGGAUAGGAGCUCCUGCUGCAUGGUGGGGGUUGGAAAGUUUCGGCGGUUGGGGAUGGACUCGCGGCUUAUCAGCUUGUUGGUGGGGUAGUGGCUUACCAAGGCUUUGACGGGUAGCCGGCCUGAGAGGGUGACCGGCGACAAUGGGACUGAGAUACGGCCCAGACUCCUACGGGAGGCAGCAGUGGGGAAUAUUGCAGAAUGGGCGGAAGCCUGAUGCAGCAACGCCGCGUGCGGGAUGAUGGCCUUCGGGGUGUAAACCGCUUUCGCCUGUGACGAAGCGUGAGUGACGGUAAUGGGUAAAGAAGCACCGGCUAACUACGUG
rnacentral:rRNA from 1 species